AGUAAAACCAAACAAAAGAAAAACAAAAAAGGUUAGCAAACAAUAUAAAAGAAAGUGUUAAAGCUACAGAAAGUGCAAAUAUUUCACAUUCAUAUUUAUUUCCCAGCACAUAUGGUAAAUGGAGUUCUUUAGUUUGGAGGGGAUUUGGUUGAGCUGAUUCGCAAACAAUACGAACACUACGAGAACAUUUAUUACCUAGAGGCCCUACAUGCCAACACCCUGCUUCUCCUGGGAAAUUGUCAUGUCAGCAGCAAACCAUCUUGCUAAUGUCUAUCUGCAAUAAUUAGGGUAUAUUUAUAUGCACAAAUAAAAGCUUGACUUGAGUGGUUUGAUUGAUGAUGCAACAUAAAUCAGCAGUAGCAAGUGAACUUUGGGGAUAG